CCGCCUCCCUGUCAGCCCGGCAGUGAGGGGCCCCUUGAGGGGGGAUCCCGAUAACGGUGUCAUUGCACUUUACUGCAUUGACUAUCAAAGGGGCGCUCACACAGUUUGUCGUUGCAUUUGACUCUUAACCAGUCGUUGUCUUGGGGCCCUUGGCCAGCUCGGGGCCCCAAGCAAUUGCUUGGUUUGCCUGUCCUGUCGCGACGGGCCUGGGUAUAAGCUCCAAACAUUCCAGAUGAAACUGGCGCUUUUUGAAAACCCGUCUGUCCUUUUCCGCUCUCUGUGUGCAGGUGGCUGAGAACAAGACUAACCGUGACUUUGGAGCGACCCGGAUGUACCUGCGGGGAAGACCGGCUGCGGUAAAAGUGUAACCCUCAAAGAGAUCACUUGAUGGUUGGCGAUUGAGGCCAGUUGCACACCUGCUGCAGGGCGCCUGGCUGGAAGCGGGUCCACCGAGGUCAUUGACCUCCGCACCGCUGUCAAGGAUAAUGCAAGCGGACAGCAACAUUCAUGUGCGUUGAUGUGAGAACGGCGGACUGUUUCUACUCUCUGGUCCGAUCUGAAGCAGUUACGAGGCCAGCUGGACGCAGUCGUUGAUGACCUGGUCCCAAGGGUGCCAGACGUCUACAAAGCUGCAGACACUAAAGACAUUUUGAACUGCCUCAAGAAAGAUGUAUGAGGUUGCUCAUUAUUGAAGACCAUUUUACAUUUACAUGUAAGGUUUUUCUGUCUGAACAUUUUGUGAAUAUUCUGUUUAACUCCACUAAAUAUUUUUGUUUAAAUACAGUAUAAAAGUUGUUAGAUAUCUGCAUGUUAAUAAUAUAAAAACUAUUUAUUUUAAUCUGAGAAAUAAAUUAUUUUUGCAACAA